rnacentral:rRNA from 1 species
AAGUCGUAACAAGGUUUCCGUAGGUGAACCUGCGGAAGGAUCAUUAAUGAAAAACAUAAUCCGGCGAGGGAAAGGCGGAGAGUUGUAGCUGGCCUUAGGGCAACGUGCACGCUCUCUUCCGGACUUUCGUCGUAUGGGCGUGGGGGGGCGACCCCUCGCGUCUUCACAUACCUCUUCGUGUAGAAAGUCUUGGAAUGUUAUCAUCAUCAUGGAGUCGCGACUUCCAGGAGACGCGGUUCUUUGAGACAAAAGUUAUUACAACUUUCAGCAACGGAUCUCUUGGCUCUCGCAUCGAUGAAGAACGCAGCGAAUCGCGAUAUGUAAUGUGAAUUGCAGAUCUACAGUGAAUCAUCGAAUCUUUGAACGCACCUUGCGCUCCUCGGUGUUCCGAGGAGCAUGCCUGUUUGAGCGUCAGUAAAUUCUCAACCCCUCUCGAUCUUUUUCGAGCGGGCGCUUGGAUGGUGGGGGCUGCCGGAGACCUGGAUUCGUUCAGGACUCGGGCUCCUCUGAAAUGAAUCGGCUUGCGGUCGACUUUUCGACUUUGCACGACAAGGCCUUUGGCGUGAUAAUGAUCGCCGUUCGCCGAAGCGCACGACCGAAUCGUCCCGUGCCUCUAAUGCGUCGACGCCUUUCGGGGCGUCUUCCUCAUCGACGUUGACCUC